CACAAUUACAUAAGGGUCCCCAGGGACGGGGGGGGGGGCAGUUAUGUAAUGGGGACAGGAGGACAAGGAGGGUGCAGUCAGGGCAAAGGAACGAGCUGGAGGGCUGAGACAGGGACAGAGCAGAGGACAUGUCCAUCACUGGCCAGGCGGCUGCCUUGCAAGACAAAACUAAGAUGGGCCAUAGGGCUGGUCCUCUGUCCCAUCACACCGCCACCACCCACACAGAUUUGACCUUUUUCUCUUCGGGCCCCACUGGCGCACCGUGCUGCAAGGCUUCGGUACGUUUUUACUGAACUCCUUGAAAGUUCGAUGAACUGGUUUCUGAUGCUUGAAAGCAAGACUCUUAUAUACUACAGGACUCUUUCCUGCCUAAUACCGGAAUGGCUAGAGGGUCUGGAAACCCUCGGGCGGAUGCCCAGGAACUCUGAUCAUUUUGGUCUUGCUUCCUGUUCAACUUCGUUGGAAACACUUGGUGAUCAGAGAUCAGCCCAGGUUGACAGUGGAGAUGACCUGCCAUUAACCAUUGUAUCUGGGCACCUGAGUCUGAGAGGACCAGAGCAGUAUCAGGGACCCAAAUGUAGGAGGCUGUGAAAGACAUCAGAGGACUUUCUGUGUCCCCUCAGCAUUAUGAGAAGUGGAAGAUUUCCUUUUGCUCAAGGAUGUUACAUUCUAACCCCCAGGUCUUGGGAGUACAUUCCAUGGCAAGAAGGACUUUGCAGAAGACAUUAAGUUAAAGGUCUUGGCACAAGAGAGAUGGCUAGAGAUCAGGAACACUUUAGUUCCCAGCACCCACAUGGCAGUCCCCAACUACCUAUAACUCCAGUCCCAAGGGAUCCAAUGCCUUCUUCUGACCUCUAUGGAUACCAGGCACACACAUGGUCCACAGACAUGCAUGUAGGCAAAACACCAUGCAUAAAGUAAAAUAGAGCAAAAGUCUUGAGAUGGGGACACAAUCCUGGCUUAUGUUCAUGGACCAAUGGGAUCUUUACAUAGGAAAGACAGAGAGGGGAGGCCAAGAGGAGCCGUGGUCAGAGUUGGCAUCUUCCCGGGAGAAGACUGUGGGAUUCAGGACAAGCAACCUAAAAACAUGGCCCCGUUGGCAUUUGAGAAACAGAAGAAACAGCAAAGUGGUUGUCACUCAGAGCAGGUCAUGAAAUCUUGACUCUAGAGGUGCAGUCCCUGGCUGCCCUCAUGUCUGAAGACGGCUGAGAAGAUACCACCCAAGGAGAAUUGGAACAGAUAGAAGCCCUGUUAAUCCCCAGCCUGGAAGACACAGCUCUCCCUGUCCCCUUGGAUCUUCAUUUCUAAGGCUCCUGCACGGCAUAAAACUUACAGCAAACUUGUACACAUAGAUGUCCCUUGUCAAUCUGUCUUUUAUUGUGGGAACUGGACUCACUACUUCUUCACUGUUGUGAGGAAAUACAUGAGAGCAACAACUUAAAGGAGCGUGUUAGUCCUGGUUACCUGUCUGUGCUGUGAACAAACACUGGGACCAGAGGUGACCGGUGAAGGCCGAGUUUAUUUGGCUCACACUAACAGAGUGGGAGGCCACAGAGUCAAAAGGCAUGGCAGCAGGUGCCUAAGCAGUGAGCUGGCUGCUUGCUCGUCUGCCACACAGGAAGCCAAGAGAGUGGACAGGAAGUGGGGCAAGGCUAUAAGCUCAAAUCUGCCCCUAGUAACACACUUCGAUCAGCAAGGCUUCACAUCCUUAAAAUUCAGUAACCUCCCCGAAACAGUGCCACCAACUGGGGACCAGGUGUUCCCAUGGUUCCCAUUUGGGGAGCAUGAGGUACUGGGACAUUCCUCAUUUGAACCACUGCAGGAACAGAGCCAGUGAUCUCUCUCUUCUCUCUCCUCUUUCUCCUCUCUCUCCUCUCUCUCUCAUGCUAUAAAGGGGUUUAAUAGAGAGACAACCCCCCCCCAAUAGGGGCCAGGUUGUCCAAUGAUGGCUGUCUGCAUGCCAUUCGAGAAGGCAGGACAACUUGGAAGUCUCAACCUGGCUCUGAAGGCCUGGAAACUUUCUGGAGAGUGUCUGGUGAGUCCACGCUGAAAGGUGGAGGAAUCUGCAAUCUGACCUCAUUGGAUGGUGGCUGAGCCUCACACACACUCAUUCAGAAAUUAAGGGGCUCAGGUGAGUGCGGACCCACUGCCUUCUGCCUGUGCCGCCAGUCUGUUCGAAGGCACAGCUCACAUUCAGGGCGAGUUUUUCUUUCCCAGUCACUGCCCCAUCUGCCAAUCAUCUCUGGAAAGCCUAGAUAGCUCUCAGUCCAAUCAAGCUGAAAACCGAGACCAACCAUCACAAGAAGGAAAGGUCAAUUUUAGUCCAGGUUCCAGAAGAUUCAGUCCACAAUCACUUGUCUCUGUGCUUCCGGGUUCUUGAUGAGGCAGGGCAUCACGCAGGAGUACGUGGAGGAAUAGGUUGCUUACCUCAAGGUAGACAGGAAGCAGAGAGAGGGAGGGACUGGGGUCCAGGUACAACUUUCAGACGUACCUCCCAGGGCCUACUUCCAUAGUUGACUAAAAUAGUCCAUUUGAAUUCUGAGACCGUCAGUGACUAAACCAUCCACUAGAGAGCCCUCACGGUCUCCUGUUUGCCCCGAUGGACAGGCACACCAGAAUUGUCCUUUACUUGUCUCCUAGGUCUCUCAAGCCAAGCAAGUUAACAAUCAAGAUGCACGCUAACGCGUGUCAACCAGGAACCAAGAAAUACGUGAGAGAAGUCCCCCUCCACACACACAUGCAGGAACACAUGUAGGAAGCUUCUAGACCCUAAGAAAGAAAAAAAAGACAUGGGUUCUCCCCUAGACUUCCCCAAAGGUGCCAAUCUUGCAGACACAUUUUUAGGUCAGUAAAAUCUAGUUUGGGGUUUUGGUUUCUAGAUAUAAUAAAUACAGACUGCCGCGAUGUUUGUAGGCAGUGCCGCUCGGAUGGAAAGGUAUCCUGGCAGCCGGGAGCCAAGGAACAUCACAGAGUCACACUGCACAACAAACCUCACAAGAGAGAUUUUUGAGGAGGGAAAACCCCAGAAGGGUGACUGCCUCUGCUCCAG